CCUACGGGAGGCAGCAGUGGGGAAUAUUGCACAAUGGGGGAAACCCUGAUGCAGCGACGCCGCGUGAGUGAAGAAGUAUUUCGGUACGUAAAGCUCUAUCAGCAGGGAAGAAAAUGACGGUACCUGACUAAGAAGCCCCGGCUAACUACGUGCCAGCAGCCGCGGUAAUACGUAGGGGGCAAGCGUUAUCCGGAUUUACUGGGUGUAAAGGGAGCGUAGACGGCAGCGCAAGUCUGGAGUGAAAUCCCAUGGCUUAACCAUGGAACUGCUUUGGAAACUGUGCAGCUAGAGUGCAGGAGAGGUAAGCGGAAUUCCUAGUGUAGCGGUGAAAUGCGUAGAUAUUAGGAGGAACACCAGUGGCGAAGGCGGCUUACUGGACUGUAACUGACGUUGAGGCGCGAAAGCGUGGGGAGCAAACAGGAUUAGAUACCCGGGUAGUC
rnacentral:rRNA from 1 species